GCAUUUAAGUCCAAGCAGAACUUCUCAAAUAUCAAACAAAAAUCUUUAUGUAUUAACAUCUAGAUAGAAGUCAUUAUAUUGUGUGGUGGGAAAAAGUACACUCUUAUUUUAAAUAUGUUAUUAGAUAUUAUUUUGUCUUGUGAUGUCUGUCAUAUAAUCAAUCAUAAUCAAGAAAUCAGACAAAUGUAACCACCUGAUAUUUUAUAGGGCCCACACAUAUAUUCACUUCUUUCUAAGAUUCUAGAUUGCAAGAUUCACUAUUAAUCAUGUAUCUAUAUGGGAGUUUAUUCAAUACACAUUGGGUUCAUGUUUUAAUUUUGUGUAUCAUGUUUAAGCACAAUUU